rnacentral:rRNA from 1 species
GUGGCUCGGUCUAUACUCCAACCCAUGUGACAUACCUUACGUUGCCUCGGCGAGCUACCCCGCGCCCACCACGCAGCAACCCCGCCUUGCGGGGCCUACUUGGCGAACGCGGGGUAACCCGCCGGCGGCCCACGAAACUCUGUUUAAUACUAUAUCUCUGAACCUAUAACUAAAUAAGUUAAAACUUUCAACAACGGAUCUCUUGGUUCUGGCAUCGAUGAAGAACGCAGCGAAAUGCGAUAAGUAAUGUGAAUUGCAGAAUUCAGUGAAUCAUCGAAUCUUUGAACGCACAUUGCGCCCAUUAGUAUUCUAGUGGGCAUGCCUGUUCGAGCGUCAUUUCAACCCUUAAGCCUCUGUCGCUUAGUGUUGGGAGCCUACAGCGGUAGCUCCCCAAAGUUAGUGGCGGAGCUGGUUCACACUUCAGGCGUAGUAGUAUUAUCUCGCCCGCGAGUCGGACCGGCCUCCUGCCGUAAAACCCCCUAAUUUAUCAAGGUUGACCUCGGAUCAGGUAGGAAUACCCGCUGAACUUAAGCAUAUCAAUAAGCGGAGGAA